GAUUAAAUGGCUGAGCAUAGGCGAUAAAUUGUAAAUUUAUUUACGAAGAUAUAUUCUUUUUUAAUCAU
rnacentral:tRNA from 1 species